AGUGCCUGCUGCCCUAGAAACUCCUAGGGAGAGGUUUGGGAGGUCCUUCUUUCCAGCACUGACCAGCCUUGGCAAUACUUCUCAAGUGACCCUUCUUACAUGUGUUACCUGAUGCAUAAAUAGGAGUUCCUGGUUCCUGUGUGAAUUGAUGUGCACAUAUAGUUGUGGACUUCAUUACUAGUGAGCAUUCCAGUGGCUUCACACCCUGUGUAUUCAUGGAUGGCUAAAGGUAUCCCCUAGACUAUUAGCAAGAAUCAUGCACAUUUCAGAGGGAGCACUCAGCAUUGGAACAUGGAAACUUUGAAGAGCUCCAACAACUUUGGUCCUCCCACUGAUCCAGGAAACUGAGGUGUUUGGCAAACUCAAAAUGAAUAUAUCAAGAGUAUAUUGGAUAUAUGAGUCUGAAACGAGAACAUGGGCUGCUGAAAUGCACAGCAAGUUAAAACCUGGGAGAAAAGUGUGACAGAGGACUAUUCCUGGCCUGAAGAGAAGUUGCAGGUUUACACCAAUGCAACGUUAAACUUUUUUCAUUUUUAAUUUAUGUGGAAAAUCUGAAGUCAUAAAAUGCUGUGUGACUACAGGAUGUCAGGAUAAAACAGCAGGAGGACCUCAGACCAUAUUUUCAUCCCUUUCUUGAGGCUUGUAUGGAAAGGGCAGUCCUAGCUGAGAUGUAUGGCUGGAGGGAGCUGCUGGAGAGCAAGAACUGGAGAAGGAUCCUCACAACAGAACCUCUGAGUGACCUCACCUUGUCUACCCCAAACAUGGAGAGAAGGCAGCACACAGAGUCACAGCACCACCAGCUUUGGAGGUGAGUGACCUACAGCCACAGCAGCUCCCCCAGAACUCAAAACCACUGCUGAACUCCUGUCUGGUCCUGCAGCUGUCACAAGGCUUUACAAGUCCAUGUUUUAUUGUAGCAAUGAAACGCAUCCAUAAAACACAGACCUGAAUCCUCCCCUGUCACCUGAGUACUUAUUGCUACCUUCUCAAUUAAUCCAGAUUCUGGGUUCUAGGGACCAUUUGUAAAAACAGCAAAAAACUCUGACAGGGCUUCCAUUUUAACCAGGGAAUCUUAAUCUCAGAAAGCUGUAGUAAUACAACAAACCAGACUAAAAUGUGUUAAUCCUGUAUUCCUUGGCAUCUAACAGCAGUUUGUGCUGGGUGAAUCAAGAGUGAGGAAUUAUGGUAGCUGCUCCUUCUUGUAAAACAGACAUCUAAUAUUGCAGAAGCUCUUAAAUUACCUGUGAGACUGAAAUUGCCAUUCUUCCUUCUGAAUAAUAAAUAUAGUGCUCUCUUCAUAUUAUUG